rnacentral:rRNA from 1 species
AGAACGAACGCUGGCGGCAGGCUUAACACAUGCAAGUCGAACGCCCCGCAAGGGGAGUGGCAGACGGGUGAGUAACGCGUGGGAACGUGCCCUAAGGUACGGAACAACUCCGGGAAACUGGAGCUAAUACCGUAUGUGCCCGAAAGGGGAAAGAUUUAUCGCCUUGGGAUCGGCCCGCGUCUGAUUAGCUAGUUGGUAGGGUAACGGCCUACCAAGGCUACGAUCAGUAGCUGGU